CAGCCACAACAGCCCGCUGGCUCGCACGGGGUGCUCUUCAUCGAGUGUCCCGCGUGGCCGGCAGAGUUUACUUUGAAAAAAUUAGAGUGCUCAAAGCAGGCUACACUGACGGCCUGAAUGCCUAUGCAUGGAAUAAUGGAAUAGGACCUCGGUUCUAUUUUGUCGGUUUUCUGAACCCGAGGUAAUGACUAAUAGGAACAGGCGGGGGCAUUCGUAUUGCGACGCUAGAGGUGAAAUUCUUGGACCGUCGCAAGACGAACUACUGCGAAAGCAUUUGCCAAGGAUGUUUUCAUUAAUCAAGAACGAAAGUUAGAGGUUCGAAGGCGAUCAGAUACCGCCCUAGUUCUAACCAUAAACGAUGCUGACCAGCGAUCCGCCGGCGUUAUUCCCAUGACCCGGCGGGCAGCUUCCGGGAAACCAAAGUCUUUGGGUUCCGGGGGAAGUAUGGUUGCAAAGCUGAAACUUAAAGGAAUUGACGGAAGGGCACCACCAGGAGUGGAGCCUGCGGCUUAAUUUGACUCAACACGGGGAACCUCACCAGGCCCANACACCGGAAGGAUUGACAGAUUGANAGCUCUUUCUCNAUUCNGUGGGUGGUGGUGCAUGG
rnacentral:rRNA from 1 species